rnacentral:ncRNA from 1 species
AAACGUGCUCCGGGGUCGGUGAAAGUCCGAACCGGCGGUGAUAGUCCGCGACCCGGCGGUCCGCUCGCAUCAGAGCGGAGUGCCGGUUGAGCCGGUGGAAUUCCGGCACCGACAGUCAAAGUCUGGAUGGGAGAAGCACGUAC